UUUUUUUUUUUUUUUGUGGCUACGCCCAGGCUCUCCAUCCAUCCAUUCAACCUCAGAUCCCUCAGGAGCACUCAGGUGGGACAGAUGAAGGACAGAAAUAAUUCCACUUCAUUACGAACAAUAAGCUCCUUUGGGUGGAUGCUGUCUGGUACAUCCAGGCUGGAGGUCAUUUCCCACGCAUCCACAAAGGCCACUCGGAGACCAGCGAAGGCAGCGCGGAGCAAGCGGUUCACCUGCAGUGUGAGCCAGUCACUGCCAUACAC